rnacentral:rRNA from 1 species
GAUGAACGCUAGCGGGAGGCCUAACACAUGCAAGCCGAGCGGUAUUGUUUCUUCGGAAAUGAGAGAGCGGCGUACGGGUGCGUAACACGUGUGCAACCUGCCUUUAUCUGGGGGAUAGCCUUUCGAAAGGAAGAUUAAUACUCCAUAACAUAUUGAACGGCAUCGUUUAAUAUUGAAAGCUCCGGCGGAUAGAGAUGGGCACGCGCAGGAUUAGCUAGUUGGUGAGGUAACGGCUCACCAAGGCGAUGAUCUUUAGGGGGCCUGAGAGGGUGAUCCCCCACACUGGUACUGAGACACGGACCAGACUCCUACGGGAGGCAGCAGUGGGGAAUAUUGGUCAAUGGGUGCAAGCCUGAACCAGCCAUCCCGCGUGAAGGACGACUGCCCUAUGGGUUGUAAACUUCUUUUGUAUAGGGAUAAACCUACCCUCGUGAGGGUAGCUGAAGGUACUAUACGAAUAAGCACCGGCUAACUCCGUGCCAGCCGCCGCGGUAA